UACGGAGGGUGCGAGCGUUAUCCGGAAUUACUGGGUUUAAAGGGUGCGUAGGCGGCGUAUUAAGUCAGGAGUGAAAGUUUGCGGCUCAACCGUAAAAUUGCUUUUGAUACUGGUAUGCUAGAAUUAGGAUGAGGUCAGCGGAAUGUGGCAUGUAGCGGUGAAAUGCAUAGAUAUGCCAUAGAACACCAAUUGCGAAGGCAGCUGGCUAGACCUGGAUUGACGCUGAGGCACGAAAGCGUGGGGAGCGAAC
rnacentral:rRNA from 1 species